rnacentral:rRNA from 1 species
GACGAACGCUGGCGGCGUGCUUAACACAUGCAAGUCGAACGAAGAGCGAUGGAAGCUUGCUUCUAUCAAUCUUAGUGGCGACCGGGUGAGUAACGCGUAAUCAACCUGCCCUUCAGAGGGGGACAACAGUUGGAAACGACUGCUAAUACCGCAUACGAUCUAACCUCGGCAUCGAGGAAAGAUGAAAGGUGGCCUCUAUGUAUAAGCUAUCACUGAAGGAGGGGAUUGCGUCUGAUUAGCUAGUUGGAGGGGUAACGGCCCACCAAGGCGAUGAUCAGUAGCCGGUCGGAGAGGAUGAACGGCCACAUUGGGACUGAGACACGGCCCAGACUCCUACGGGAGGCAGCAGUGGGGAAUCUUCCGCAAUGGACGAAAGUCUGACGGAGCAACGCCGCGUGAGUGAUGACGGCCUUCGGGUUGUAAAGCUCUGUUAAUCGGGACGAAAGGCCUUCUUGCGAAUAGUGAGAAGGAUUGACGGUACCGGAAUAGAAAGCCACGGCUAACUACGUG